UAAUCCAUGCAGACAAAGGCUCGUGGUGAAGGUUGAUUCAUUGGCAGACCCGCCAGGGUCGCCAGGAAUGCUCAGAGCAAAAAAUAAAACAGGGCGCGAGGGCCGGAGAGAGGAAAAAAAAAGAGGUUGAGUGUCCUCCGCGGCGCCCAUGGAUCGGGUGCGACGCGCCCCGGGCAAGAGAAUCCCGCCCGAGGCAACAGAUUGGUAACGUUCACAUUGGGGUUUGGGAGUGUAAAACUCGUAUUUCUGCAAGGGGGUGAGUGCGGAGGGAUCAUUACCGAGUUUACAACUCCCAAACCCCAAUGUGAACGUUACCAAUCUGUUGCCUCGGCGGGAUUCUCUUGCCCCGGGCGCGUCGCAGCCCCGGAUCCCAUGGCGCCCGCCGGAGGACCAACUCCAAACUCUUUUUUUCUUUCCGUCGCGGCUCCCGUCGCGGCUCUGUUUUAUUUUUGCUCUGAGCCUUUCUCGGCGACCCUAGCGGGCGUCUCGAAAAUGAAUCAAAACUUUCAACAACGGAUCUCUUGGUUCUGGCAUCGAUGAAGAACGCAGCGAAAUGCGAUAAGUAAUGUGAAUUGCAGAAUUCAGUGAAUCAUCGAAUCUUUGAACGCACAUUGCGCCCGCCAGUAUUCUGGCGGGCAUGCCUGUCCGAGCGUCAUUUCAACCCUCGAACCCCUCCGGGGGGUCGGCGUUGGGGAUCGGCCCCUCACCGGGCCGCCCCCGAAAUACAGUGGCGGUCUCGCCGCAGCCUCUCCUGCGCAGUAGUUUGCACACUCGCACCGGGAGCGCGGCGCGGCCACAGCCGUAAAACACCCCAAACUUCUGAAAUGUUGACCUCGGAUCAGGUACGGAUUCACC
rnacentral:rRNA from 1 species